GUAAUUGUGCGCAGAAUGGAUAGCGCGGCAGCCUCCGGAGCUGCAGGUCGUGGGUUCAAAUCCCACCGAGCCCG
rnacentral:tRNA from 1 species